rnacentral:rRNA from 1 species
GACGAACGCUGGCGGCGUGCCUAAUACAUGCAAGUCGAACGCUUUUUCUUUCACCGGAGCUUGCUCCACCGAAAGAAAAGGAGUGGCGAACGGGUGAGUAACACGUGGGUAACCUGCCCAUCAGAAGGGGAUAACACUUGGAAACAGGUGCUAAUACCGUAUAACAAUCGAAACCGCAUGGUUUCGGUUUGAAAGGCGCUUUUGCGUCACUGAUGGAUGGACCCGCGGUGCAUUAGCUAGUUGGUGAGGUAACGGCUCACCAAGGCAACGAUGCAUAGCCGACCUGAGAGGGUGAUCGGCCACAUUGGGACUGAGACACGGCCCAAACUCCUACGGGAGGCAGCAGUAGGGAAUCUUCGGCAAUGGACGGAAGUCUGACCGAGCAACGCCGCGUGAGUGAAGAAGGUUUUCGGAUCGUAAAGCUCUGUUGUUAGAGAAGAACAAGUGUGAAAGUAACUAGUCACACCGUGACGGUAUCUAACCAGAAAGCCACGGCUAACUACGUGCCAGCAGCCGCAGUAAUAC